AUGCUCUAGUAUAGAGAAUCCUGAGUAUACGAUACCCCGUUGGGUGUUGUUAAUAGUUGUUUUUGGAGCACGAGUAGGAGCAGAAGUAGGAAACUCUACAUCAACGUGCCGUAGAUAGUUUUGAGGACCUUGAGACAUAACCCAGUAUUACUAGCAGCUGUUAAGCAAUUGCUAAUCAGGUGAGUCGUGAGGAAAGCUAUAGGAACUACUUGAUAGUUGUGGAGUUUUAGAAGAUGAAGGAGUUCUUAGUUGUCAAAAGUUUGUAAAUAAAUAAAGUGUUGUACUCAGACUAUUAUAAGUUUUAAUGAAAGUUUAGUUUGUUUCC